UACGUAGGAGGCAAGCGUUGUCCGGAAUUACUGGGCGUAAAGCGCACGUAGGCGGAUUGUUAAGUUAGGGGUGAAAUCCCAGGGCUCAACCCUGGAACUGCCUUUAAUACUGGCAAUCUCGAGUCCGAGAGAGGUGAGUGGAAUUCCGAGUGUAGAGGUGAAAUUCGUAGAUAUUCGGAGGAACACCAGUGGCGAAGGCGGCUCACUGGCUCGGUACUGACGCUGAGGUGCGAAAGCGUGGGGAGCAAACAGG
rnacentral:rRNA from 1 species